rnacentral:rRNA from 1 species
ACACAUGCAGUCGAGCGGAGAUGAGGUGCUUGCACCUUAUCUUAGCGGCGGACGGGUGAGUAAUGCUUAGGAAUCUGCCUAUUAGUGGGGGACAACAUUCCGAAAGGAAUGCUAAUACCGCAUACGUCCUACGGGAGAAAGCAGGGGAUCUUCGGACCUUGCGCUAAUAGAUGAGCCUAAGUCGGAUUAGCUAGUUGGUGGGGUAAAGGCCUACCAAGGCGACGAUCUGUAGCGGGUCUGAGAGGAUGAUCCGCCACACUGGGACUGAAACACGGCCCAGACUCCUACGGGAGGCAGCAGUGGGGAAUAUUGGACAAUGGGGGGAACCCUGAUCCAGCCAUGCCGCGUGUGUGAAGAAGGCCUUAUGGUUGUAAAGCACUUUAAGCGAGGAGGAGGCUACUGAGACUAAUACUCUUGGAUAGUGGACGUUACUCGCAGAAUAAGCACCGGCUAACUCUGUGCCAGCAGCCGCGGUAAUACAGAGGGUGCGAGCGUUAAUCGGAUUUACUGGGCGUAAAGCGUGCGUAGGCGGCUUUUUAAGUCGGAUGUGAAAUCCCCGAGCUUAACUUGGGAAUUGCAUUCGAUACUGGGAAGCUAGAGUAUGGGAGAGGAUGGUAGAAUUCCAGGUGUAGCGGUGAAUGCGUAGAGAUCUGGAGGAAUACCGAUGGCGAACGGCAGCCCUUCUGGUCUAAUACUGACGCUGAUGGUACAAAGCAUGGGGAGCAAACUGAAUUAUAUACCUCUGGUAAUCCAUGCCGUAA